GAUGAACGCUAGCUACAGGCUUAACACAUGCAAGUCGAGGGGCAGCAUGGACAUAGCUUGCUAUGUUUGAUGGCGACCGGCGCACGGGUGCGUAACACGUAUCCAAUCUGCCCGUUACUCGGGAUAGCCUUCUGAAAAGGAAGAUUAAUACCCGAUGGCAUGUAUUUCCGGCAUCGGAGAUACAUUAAAGAUUUAUCGGUAACGGAUGAGGAUGCGUACGAUUAGCUUGUUGGCGGGGUAACGGCCCACCAAGGCGACGGUCGUUAGGGGUUCUGAGAGGAAGGUCCCCCACACUGGAACUGAGACACGGUCCAGACUCCUACGGGAGGCAGCAGUGGGGAAUAUUGGGCAAUGGGCGAAAGCCUGACCCAGCGACGCCGCGUGAAGGAAGAAGGUCUUCGGAUUGUAAACUUUUGUCAACAGGGAAGAAGAAAGUGACGGUACCUGUUAAGAAAGCCACGGCUAACUACGUG
rnacentral:rRNA from 1 species